AACGAACGCUGGCGGCAUGCCUAACACAUGCAAGUCGAACGAGACCUUCGGGUCUAGUGGCGCACGGGUGCGUAACGCGUGGGAACCUGCCCUUAGGUUCGGAAUAACUCCCCGAAAGGGGUGCUAAUACCUGAUAAUGUCUUCGGACCAAAGAUUUAUCGCCUUUGGAUGGGCCCGCGUUGGAUUAGCUAGUUGGUAGGGUAAAAGCCUACCAAGGCGACGAUCCAUAGCUGGUCUGAGAGGAUGAUCAGCCACACUGGGACUGAGACACGGCCCAGACUCCUACGGGAGGCAGCAGUGGGGAAUAUUGGACAAUGGGCGAAAGCCUGAUCCAGCAAUGCCGCGUGAGUGAUGAAGGCCUUAGGGUUGUAAAGCUCUUUUACCCGGGAUGAUAAUGACAGUACCGGGAGAAUAAGCUCCGGCUAACUCCGUG
rnacentral:rRNA from 1 species